rnacentral:lncRNA from 1 species
GUUUUUUGUUAGCGUUUUUUUUUCGUUUCACUCCGAAGGUUCGUUUUUGCGGGUCAGAGAUGGGUUGCAAACUCUCUGUCCCCCAGAAAAGAGUUUAUUACCAAGUUGUGGGUACCCUUGAAGAGAGAAAUGUUAAAAUUGUUAAGCGGGAGUUAAAAGAUUUAAUCAUAUGGUUGUUCAUUCAAUUUCCAGAGAUCUCCCCAGAUUUAGUUAAUGAAAUAAAAUUCUGGAAUUCAGUUGGAGACAAAUUAGCACAAUUCGAAUCUAAAGGGAGAUCAAAAAACAAAAAUUAGUUUAUUGGACCUUCCAAAUCAUUACAGCUCUUAGAGAAAAACAGAAAUUGAAGGAACAACCACCCCCCCAUUCGUGUUCUCCCUACCCCCGUGUCCCAGACCCUUGUCCCACCCCUUCUCUCCCUGAGAAUAGCAGAACCCUUAGGAGAGCAGCCCGCGAGAGCACCGCGCCGGCUUCCUACCACCUGCCGGGCUCUCCUCAGGGCUCCCUGACCCCCCGCCUCCAAAGUCCUGGCCAGACUUCGGAGAGCUCUCUCCAAUCCCCCGAUUCCUUUUCCCCUGAGUCCCCAGUUGUGCAUCCCAAAGUUAGAUUUGCAGUUUCAGAGGGCAGCAGCCCCCAGACCUCUUCACAAAAUGGCUCCCAUGGAGCCCAAAAUGGCGGCGACCGCAUGGCUUUUCCCGCCAUCAGUUUUUCUUCUCCCCAUAAUCCUUUCCUUUCUCCCGCCAACCCUUUCUCCGCCCCUUCCCAUUCCUAUAACCCCGCCCCUAAUUAUGUUAAUUCUUCUCCCAAUCCCCCGCCUUCCUACACGCCCCUUUCCCCUCCUCCUUCCCAAGCCCCGCCUUUUGAACACGCCCCUCAGGCGGAGCCAACUCCAUCAGCUCCACCUCCUAGCUCCGCCCUGGUUCCCACACCUGGCCCCUCCCCUUGGCUUCCGGGUUCCCACGCCCCGCCUCCCAGUUCCCACGCCCCGACUUCCGGGAGUGGAGAUCAAGAUGAUUCGAAUUCUACUGUGCCAUCUUUAAUAACUGCAGCUCCAGUCUCUUACCAGAGAGACGGUGAAGGGCCCACCCGAGCGCAAU